GACGAACGCUGGCGGCGUGCUUAACACAUGCAAGUCGAACGCUGAAGCUUGGUGCUUGCACUGGGUGGAUGAGUGGCGAACGGGUGAGUAAUACGUGAGUAACCUGCCCUUGACUCUGGGAUAAGCCUGGGAAACUGGGUCUAAUACUGGAUACGACAUGUCACCGCAUGGUGGUGUGUGGAAAGGGUUUUACUGGUUUUGGAUGGGCUCACGGCCUAUCAGCUUGUUGGUGGGGUAAUGGCUCACCAAGGCGACGACGGGUAGCCGGCCUGAGAGGGUGACCGGCCACACUGGGACUGAGACACGGCCCAGACUCCUACGGGAGGCAGCAGUGGGGAAUAUUGCACAAUGGGCGGAAGCCUGAUGCAGCGACGCCGCGUGAGGGAUGACGGCCUUCGGGUUGUAAACCCCUUUCAGCACGGAAGAAGCGAAAGUGACGGUACGUGCAGAAGAAGCGCCGGCUAACUACGUG
rnacentral:rRNA from 1 species